UCAGGUGGCCGCAGAGAAUAGGCCCAAGCGACUGUUUACCAAAAACAUAGGUUUCUGCUAAGUCGCAAGACGAUGUAUAGGAGCUGACGCCUGCCCGGUGCUGGAAGGUUAAGGGGAUCUGUUAGAGCAAUCGAAGCAGUGAACUUAAGCCCCAGUAAACGGCGGCCGUAACUAUAACGGUCCUAAGGUAGCGAAAUUCCUUGUCGGGUAAGGUCCGACCCGCACGAAAGGCGUAACGAUUUGGGCACUGUCUCAACAACCGACUCGGUGAAAUUGUAAUUCCGGUGAAGAUGCCGGAUACCUGCGACAGGACGGAAAGACCCCAUGGAGCUUUACUGUAGCUUGACAUUGGGUCUUGGUACUACAUGUACAGGAUAGGUGGGAGGCUUUGAAACCAGGACGCCAGUUUUGGCGGAGCCAUCCUUGGGAUACCACCCUUGUAGUACUGGGACUCUAACCAUAGGCCAUGAAUCUGGUCUUGGGACACUGUCAGGUGGGCAGUUUGACUGGGGCGGUCGCCUCCCAAAAGG
rnacentral:rRNA from 1 species